rnacentral:rRNA from 1 species
ACGAACGCUGGCGGCGUGCUUAACACAUGCAAGUCGAACGGUGAAGGGGUCUGCUUUUGUGGGCCCUGGAUGAGUGGCGAACGGGUGAGUAACACGUGAGUAACCUGCCCCCUUCUUCUGGAUAACCGCAUGAAAGUGUGGCUAAUACGGGAUAUUCUGGGUCUGUCGCAUGAUGGGUCUGGGAAAGAUUGCGCCUUUGGGUGUUUUUGGUGGGGGAUGGGCUCGCGGCCUAUCAGCUUGUUGGUGGGGUGAUGGCCUACCAAGGCGGUGACGGGUAGCCGGCCUGGGAGGGUGGACGGUCACACUGGGACUGAGACACGGCCCAGACUCCUACGGGAGGCAGCAGUGGGGAAGAUUGCACAAUGGGCGCAAGCCUGAUGCAGCGACGCCGCGUGAGGGAUGGAGGCCUUCGGGUUGUAAACCUCUUUCGCCAGUGAAGCAGGCCUGCUCCUUGUGGGUGGGUUGACGGUAGCUGGAUAAGAAGCGCCGGCUAACUACGUG